rnacentral:rRNA from 1 species
AUUGAACGCUGGCGGCAGGCCUAACACAUGCAAGUCGAGCGAGCGGCGGACGGGUGAGUAAUGUAUGGGGACUGCCCGAUAGAGGGGGAUAACUACUGGAAACGGUGGCUAAUACCGCAUACUAUCGGAUAACCCAUAUGGGAUUAGCUAGUAGGUGGGGUAAAGGCUCACCUAGGCGACGAUCCCUAGCUGGUCUGAGAGGAUGAUCGGCCACACUGGGACUGAGACACGGCCCAGACUCCUACGGAGGCAGCAGUGGGGAAUAUUGCGCAAUGGGCGCAAGCCUGAUGCAGCCAUGCCGCGUGUGUGAAGAAGGCCUUAGGGUUGUAAAGUACUUUCAGCGGGGAAGCGUUACCCAAAGAGAAAGCACCGGCUAACUCCGUGCCAGCCGCCGCGGUAAUUC